rnacentral:rRNA from 1 species
GACGAACGCUGGCGGCGCGCCUAACACAUGCAAGUCGAACGAGAGAUGAGGAGCUUGCUCUUCAAAUCGAGUGGCGAACGGGUGAGUAACGCGUGAGGAACCUGCCUCAAAGAGGGGGACAACAGUUGGAAACGACUGCUAAUACCGCAUAAGCCCACGGCUCGGCAUCGAGCAGAGGGAAAAGGAGCGAUCCGCUUUGAGAUGGCCUCGGCGUCCGAUUAGCUAGUUGGUGAGGUAACGGCCCACCAAGGCGACGAUCGGUAGCCGGACUGAGAGGUUGAACGGCCACAUUGGGACUGAGACACGGCCCAGACUCCUACGGGAGGCAGCAGU